UCUUACUCUUUCCCCUUUUCGUUUCAUGAUUUCGAAUCUUAGGGUUUCUAAUUCCUCGCUAAAUUAGGAAAUUUCUGAAACAAUUGGUAAUCGAAUUUCUCAGUGAUUAGACAUUUGAGUAUCACAUCUCCAGAUUUAGGGUUUUCGAUACUAAGUAUGUGUCUCAAUGUCAAAAGGUUGCUAUGUGGAAAUCAGAAAUCUCAAUUUUGUAGUUGUUCUUUGUGAUUUUUUUGGUGGAUUGAUAUGUUGAUGUGACUGUGACUUCAUUAGCUGAUUAGUAUUGUUAAUUAAUUGCUCAGAAAUGAUUAGGGAUAUGAGUAGAUUAAGAAAUAACUUUGCGUUCAAUUGUUUGUUUGAGAAAGAUCAUGUAAUGGAUUUUUUUUUUUUUAUGAUGGUGUAGCUGUGAAAGCUGAUUUGAUGGCUAAACUUGAUAAAGAGGUUAAAUCUUUGAAAGAAGAUAGUAUACGUGAUUGCCCUCUCCAAAUUCUAAGGCUUUUGAGACGGAAUCGCCAGUCAAAUCUUUGUUGAUGUCACAAAGAACCAUACAAAUAGAAAAUGAAAAAGAGACGAGUGAUCUACAUUUGAGGGUAACAUUGGUGAGUGUUUUCAAAACAUACAUUCGUCUAUACUAAGCCUCGGAAAUGAAUCCCUCAGAAGGGCCAUUGCAGGAUCUGUCACUCAAGAUCAUGUUAGAGACAGAGAUCAUAAGUAGUAAUUCUAAAGGCUGGUAAAUGGAUAACGAGAAGUCGAGUA